rnacentral:rRNA from 1 species
UACGGAGGAUGCAAGCGUUAUCCGGAAUUAUUGGGCGUAAAGCGCGCGUAGGCGGCUUUGCAAGUCGGGUGUGAAAUCCCCAGGCUUAACCUGGGAACUGCAUUCGAGACUGCAUUGCUAGAGUAUGGGAGAGGGAAGUGGAAUUUCCGGUGUAGCGGUGAAAUGCGUAGAUAUCGGAAGGAACAUCAGUGGCGAAAGCGACUUCCUGGACCAAUACUGACGCUCAUGUGCGAAAGCGUGGGGAGCAAACAGG